ACGGAGGGGGCGAGCGUUAUUCGGAAUUAUUGGGCGUAAAGGGCGCGUAGGCGGCUUGACAAGUCAAAGGUGAAAUCCCUCGGCUCAACUGAGGAACUGCCUUUGAAACUGUCUGGCUUGAGGCCGGGAGGGGGUAGCGGAAUUCCCAGUGUAGCGGUGAAAUGCGUAGAUAUCUGGAGGAACACCGGUGGCGAAGGCGGCAUCCUGGACCGGCAUUGACGCUGAGGCGCGAAAGCCAGGGGAGCAAACGGGA
rnacentral:rRNA from 1 species